UUGUUUGAUGGCUGAGAAUAUAAGCGGUAGACUGUAGAUCUAUUUACGGAAUUAGAUUUCCUCAACAAA
rnacentral:tRNA from 1 species